GAGGAAUCAAAAAGGCAAUCAAAGGAACCAGAUAUGGCAACAACAGCGAGAAGCACACAUACUCAGUUGAAUCGCAGAAGCAAACAUUUGCUGAAGUUGUUAAAGGUAAUAGAGCUCAAAAUUAGGGCAUGCAACUCAAGUACUACCCUCCGAUGGUGAAGGAUGGAGUGAAAAUUGCAAAACUAAACCCCAAGGAGAUAGAAGUACAUAACCAGAAAUGGAAGACUGCUUCAAUCAGAUAUGUACUAGGAGGUAACCCGUCUUUCAAAGAAAUGCUCAAAUAUGUCUAUGGAGUUUGGAAUGCUGUUACAACACCUACAGUGAUGUUACAUGAUGAUGGCUACUUCAUCUUUAACUUCGAAUCUAUGGAGGACAAAAGACUGAUAAUGCAAACUGACCCUUACACCUUCAAUGGUAAGCCUCUGAUAUUGAAGGACUGGGAUCCAAAUUUUCAGAUCCAUAAUGAGUCAAUGCGAAUUGUACCAAUUUGGAUCAACAAGGACUGGGAUCCAAAUUUUCAGAUCCAGAAUGAGUCAAUGCGAAUUGUACCAAUUUGGAUUAACUUACCUGGCUUGCCAAUUCAAUGCUGGGCAAAAGAGAACUUAGAUAGAAUAGCUGGUUUAAUUGGAAAGCCUUUAUGCACUAAUAGACUUACUGUUGCUUGUGAAAGAAUUUCCUUUGCUAGAGUCCUUGUGGAAAUGGACAUAACCCAACCCUUACCUGAUGAAGUCUAUAUUGAGAUACCAGAUGGAAGAAGUUAGCUGCAGCCAGUGGAGUUUGAAUGAAAACCAACAUUCUGUCUAGAAUGUAACUCAUUUGGGCAUAAAAAUGGGGAAUGUCAUAAGGAGGAGCAACGGGCUCAAAGGCCACAGAAUCAGAGAAAAAGGAUCAAGAAUAAAACCAAAUUGAAAUGGCAAUCAAAACCUGUAAUGGAGGAGACUAUAGCCAAUCAACAGCAUGAGGAACAAACAGUUCAACCUUAGGUGGAACUAUCAGUGAACAAUCGAGGCAAACAGGUAGCAACUGUAAAAAGAGUUAAUGAGACUAUUGACAAAGGGGAGAUCAACUACGCUGAGUUGACUACCAAGAAUACAUCUACUGCAUUAAUUUUAAAGGAACCAUCCGAAUGGAACCAACAACAGAGAGACAGCAGAAGAGAGACAUCCAUUAAGGAUAAAGGGGAAUCUCAAGCAACCAAUAUCAUCCAUGAUCAUUGUCUCCUGGAACAUUAGAGGGCUGAACAAGUCCUACAAACAGAGAGAGCUAGUAAAGUUCUUGAGGACCAAUAAAGUAGACAUGGUAGCUUGUCUAGAAACUAAAGUGAAAUAGCUGCAUUCACAGACAAUCUACAAGAAACUGGAAAGUGAAUGGAACAUUGAAAAUAACUAUGCUUGUGCACCUAAUGGGAGGAUAUGGAUAAUGUGGAAAUUGUCAAAUAUCCAUGUUGUAACUCUAGAAACCACUGACCAAAUGAUUCACUGCCAGGUGACAGACAAGAACUCCAUAUUUGCUAGCUACAUCACCUUUGUCUAUGGCCUGCAUUCCAUCCAGCAAAGAGU
rnacentral:lncRNA from 1 species